GAGGGUAUAGCUCAGUGGUAGAGUAUAUGCUUAGCAUGACUAGGUCCUGGGUUCAAUCCCCAGUACCACCA
rnacentral:tRNA from 1 species